ACGGGUGAGUAAUACAUCGGAACGUGCCCUGUAGUGGGGGAUAACUAGUCGAAAGAUUAGCUAAUACCGCAUACGACCUGAGGGUGAAAGUGGGGGACCGCAAGGCCUCAUGCUAUAGGAGCGGCCGAUGUCUGAUUAUCUAGUUGGUGGGGUAAAGGCCCACCAAGGCGACGAUCAGUAGCUGGUCUGAGAGGACGAUCAGCCACACUGGGACUGAGACACGGCCCAUACUCCUACGGGAGGCAGCAGUGGGGAAUUUUGGACAAUGGGGGCAACCCUGAUCCAGCAAUGCCGCGUGUGUGAAGAAGGCCUUCGGGUUGUAAAGCACUUUUGUCCGGAAAGAAAUCGCACUUACUAAUAUUAGGUGUGGAUGACGGUACCGGAAGAAUAAGGACCGGCUAACUACGUGCCAGCAGCCGCGGUAAUACGUAGGGUCCAAGCGUUAAUCGGAAUUACUGGGCGUAAAGCGUGCGCAGGCGGUUGUGCAAGACCGAUGUGAAAUCCCCGGGCUUAACCUGGGAAUUGCAUUGGUGACUGCACGGCUAGAGUGAGUCAGAGGGGGGUAGAAUUCCACGU
rnacentral:rRNA from 1 species